rnacentral:rRNA from 1 species
GAGCGCAGGCGGUUCCUUAAGUCUGAUGUGAAAGCCCCCGGCUCAACCGGGGAGGGUCAUUGGAAACUGGGGAACUUGAGUGCAGAAGAGGAGAGUGGAAUUCCAUGUGUAGCGGUGAAAUGCGUAGAUAUAUGGAGGAACACCAGUGGCGAAGGCGACUCUGGUCUGUAACUGACGCUGAGGCUCGAAAGCGUGGGUAGCAAACAGGAUUAGAUACCCUGGUAGUCCACGCCGUAAACGAUGAGUGCUAGGUGUUAGACCCUUUCCGGGGUUUAGUGCCGUAGCUAACGCAUUAAGCACUCCGCCUGGGGAGUACGACCGCAAGGUUGAAACUCAAAGGAAUUGACGGGGGCCCGCACAAGCGGUGGAGCAUGUGGUUUAAUUCGAAGCAACGCGAAGAACCUUACCAGGUCUUGACAUCCCUCUGACCGCUCUAGAGAUAGAGCUUUCCUUCGGGACAGAGGUGACAGGUGGUGCAUGGUUGUCGUCAGCUCGUGUCGUGAGAAG